GUUUAUUCCAUGUGUAACUCUGUGUUGUAUGUUUCGAACUGCUAUGCUUUAUCUUGGCCAGGUCGCAGUUGCAAACGAGAACUUGUUCUCAACUAGCCUACCUGGUUAAAUAAAGGUGAAAUUAAAAAAAUGCAGUUUAUUUUUUCUUCAAAUAUAGAAGUAUCUAUCCCUGUCAAUCCUGGUAUUACAAAUGAAUUUUGAAAGAUAUCUGUCUGUAAAAGAGAGAAUAUGAAGAAAUGUCUGAAUCAGAAUUUCAAUUGUCUACAAGCUACAUAUUUAAUUUGUCACAUGCGCCGAAUACAACAGGUGUAGGCCUUACAGUGAAAUGCUUACUUACAAGCCCUUAACCAACAAUGCAGUUUUAAUCUCUCUGGGCCAGUGGGAUGUUAGCGUCCCACUCUAUUCAACAGCCAGUGGAAUCGCGUGGCGCGAAAUACAAAUACCUCAAAAAUGCUAUAACUUCAAUUUCUCAAACAUAUGACUAUUUUACACCAUUCUACACAACAAGUUGGACAUAAGUGGUUUGGAAGGAAUCAGUGGCAAACUGCAAGCUUUGCAGCUUUGUCCACAAGAAGGACUGCCGUACCACCUUCCUGUUCAAGUGACCACAGCAAAGUAAGGUGAGUUCAAAAAUGUAUUGUAUGCUGCUGCAUAAAUUAUGCCAGGGAGAUAUGUAUACUGUAGCUAAGAAAGUAAUACUAAGUGUAUGUUGUGUAGUAAGCUGUUAGUAGCCCAUGUAAUAAUAACUUGGUCCCCUUCCCCUCUCAUAACUUAGCCUACUGUUCUGACUGGGUGGUGCACAUGUAGCCUACAGCCUGUUUGAGAAAUGCAAUCAUCGAAUAUUGUAAGAUUUUUAAUUGUCUGCUUAUAUGCCCCUUAUAUGCAGUAAAUUAGUCUGAAUGAACUGUUUCGCUGCCAGACGAGGCUCCGCUGAUAGCCAGGUGUAGCGGUGGUAAGUAUUCACUCCAUGGUGCUGAAAAGAAAGCUCUGCUGUUGAGACAGCUUUAUGUAGGCCCUAACAGUUUGUGGACACCGUUUGUCACCAUUAUAGCGCAAUUAAUGUAUAGUCUUGUGGCUUUGCUGGCAUGCAUUGGUGAUGAAAUAAAAGUUUGCCUCACCGAGAUUUACAUAGUAAAAUCACCACUGGUGGUGUUUUCAGGUACUGUCAACAAUUUACUGACUAAAUGAAAGGUCCUUAAUGUAGAGAGAAAAGUGCUGCCAUUGAGUUACAAGUCAAUGGCUGGCAGCCCCAUGAUAAAUCCCACCAAGAACAGUGUCCGGAGGUGGCCAUUUCCCAGUCACUAAAGUCAUCAGUUGGCACUAAGCUGCAAAGCUAGAAGUUCUAUCUUAAAAGCUGCUAACCUUAUGUCUAACGUUAAAGACCAAAAAGCUAAUUUCCCAACAUAAUAUCCUUGUUACAUGUUACAUUCGGGAAAGGAGUCAGCACCAUCUUCAGUGACCGGAGAACAGGUUUGCUACAUUUUGUCUUUCGACAGAUGCCAUUUGAUCAUAAGAACAUUGUGAUAAUGUGUUUGGUUUGACUUUUUUUUCUUCACAGGUUCAAAGACUGGAGAAGAUGUCACCUGAUCAGCAAACUCGUGUCAAGGCAAUGGAACUUGCUCAAUAAUAGUCCCCACUAUUAUUGAUAUAAUAGUCCCCACUCAAUAAUAAAACAAGACAAAUCCAGCAAUAGUUGUUUAUUUUUCUGUCUUUUUCAUGUUCUCUUCUGUCCAUACUGAACACACUACACUCAAUGUCCUAUCGAAUAUUUUCUGUGUUUAUUUUUGUAAAAUAAAAUCCACCGCACAUGUCAGAAUAUUAGAAGUGAGUUUUAUUAUUCAUAGACAUACGGUUUAAGAAUUCUCAGAGGAUUUGUACCUGGCCUGAGAUGGGUGUUACAUGAGUUUGGUUCAGAAAAUGUAAUCCAUGAAUUAAACAUGUGAACACAUGAAAAGCUUGAACCUUUACAUGACCUCAAUGCCAACCUCCAGCAUUGGAGAAAUUAGAGGAAGAUUUUCAACACUGGAUAGAUGCAACCUCGAUCUUUGGAUUGGAGGAAACAUA